rnacentral:rRNA from 1 species
UACGUAGGGACCGAGCGUUGUCCGGAUUCAUUGGGCGUAAAGAGCUCGUAGGCGGCUGUUCAAGUCGAACGUGAAAACUCGGAGCUCAACUCCGAGCCUGCGUUCGAUACUGGACGGCUAGAGUCUGGUAGGGGGAUCUGGAAUUCCUGGUGUAGCGGUGAAAUGCGUUGAGAUCCACAGGAACUCCGGUGGCGAAGGCGGCGUGCUGGACCCGAUCUGACGCUGAGGCGCGAAAGCCAGGGGAGCGAACGGG